rnacentral:rRNA from 1 species
AUACGUAGGGGGCGAGCGUUGUCCGGAAUGAUUGGGCGUAAAGGGCGCGUAGGCGGCCCGGUAAGUCUGGAGUGAAAGUCCUGUUUUUAAGAUGGGAAUUGCUUUGGAUACUGUCAGGCUUGAGUGCAGGAGAGGUAAGUGGAAUUCCCAGUGUAGCGGUGAAAUGCGUAGAGAUUGGGAGGAACACCAGUGACGAAGGCGACUUACUGGACUGUAACUGACGCUGAGGCGCGAAAGUGUGGGGAGCAAACAGGAUUAGAUACCCUGGUAGUCCACACUGUAAACGAUGAAUGCUAGGUGUAGGGGGUAUCGACCCCUUCUGUGCCGCAGUCAACACAAUAAGCAUUCCGCCUGGGGAGUACGGCCGCAAGGUUGAAACUCAAAUGAAUUGACGGGG